rnacentral:rRNA from 1 species
UUAGCAACCUGCCUUUGUGUGGGGGAUAGCCGGGCUAACGCCCGGGUAAUACCGCAUACGUUUCCUGAGGGGAGUCCCUUGGGAAAGAAACCUCCGGGGCACAGAGAGGGGCUCGCGGCCUAUCAGCUAGUUGGUGAGGUAAUGGCUCACCAAGGCUCCGACGGGUAGCUGGUCUGAGAGGAUGGCCAGCCACAUUGGGACUGAGAUACGGCCCAGACUCCCACGGGAGGCAGCAGUGGGGAAUAUUGCGCAAUGGCCGCAAGGCUGACGCAGCGACGCCGCGUGUGGGAUGACGCCUUUCGGGGUGUAAACCACUGUUGCCCGGGACGAACACGCCUUUUCGAGGGCGCUGACGGUACCGGGUGAGGAAGCACCGGCUAACUCCGUGCCAGCAGCCGCGGUAAUACGGAGGGUGCGAGCGUUGUCCGGAAUCAUUGGGCGUAAAGGGCGCGUAGGUGGCGGGACAAGCGUGCGGUGAAAGCUCGGGGCUCAACCCCGAGUCGGCCGUGCGAACUGUCUUGCUUGAGCACUGUAGAGGCAGGCGGAAUU